AAUAACGUACGAGAAAUCGGCGCUAAUACCUCAUAAUGCAGCGGAUCCGCAUGGAUAUGUUGUUAAAGGUUUACCGCCUUGGGAUAGGCUUGCGUCUGAUUAGUUAGUUGGUGUGGUAACGGCACACCAAGGCUACGAUCAGUAACUGGUCUGAGAGGAUGAUCAGUCACACUGGAACUGAGACACGGUCCAGACUCCUACGGGAGGCAGCAGUGAGGAAUAUUGGGCAAUGCUCGAAAGAGUGACCCAGCAACGCCGCGUGGAGGAUGAAGGUAUUCUAUAUCGUAAACUCCUGUGAGAGCAGACGAAAGACAGAUUAUUAAUCUGGAUGACUGUAUGCUCAGAGGAAGCCCCGGCUAACUACGUG
rnacentral:rRNA from 1 species